rnacentral:rRNA from 1 species
GGGUGCGAUGAUACUAGCAUUAACGCAUCAGAUUCCAUUAGAACUCCGAAGUUAAGCGUAUUUGGACAAAAGUAGUACUAGGAUGGAUAACCCCUUGAAAAGCGGGAUAGUGAAAAAA